CACCUUCAGUGCCCAGGAGGGACAAAUGGUUUUGGUUCAGUGUGCCAUUGAUGGGCGUUCUCCCGUUACAAGAAUUGUCUUCUGCAAGGAUGGGGUGGAAACAUCCAGCCUGAAGGCCAUUCAGGGGCAGCUGACCUACAACAUGAUCAUGAAUGUCUCACUGGGAAGUGCAGGCAAGUACACGUGUGGGUACCAGCUCAAGGAUCAGAGCAACCAAGUGAAGAACUCUGCCCUCAGUGUCCCCCAGGACUUGGAAAUCACAGGUGCCUGCAGAGGAAGAUGCCCAAGGCAGCAGCACGUUGACAGCCCACAGACGGAAGACACCAACUAUGGUGACAUCCAGUACUCCACCAUCGCCCAUGUUCGACGGGACAGGGUGAGUCAUGGCACAGCUGUGCACACCUCCUUUCUGCACUCCUGCAGCCUGGUGCACGCUCAUUGUGCAGGGCUCACAGUCAGCAGCUGAAGUAACAGGGUUUCUUUUCUCCCUAAAGCCUCGUCCCAUGCAGCACAUGAGAAACACCACGACAUAUGCCAUGGUGACCCGCACCCAGACCCGAUAGCGCUGCCACAGGGCAAGGGCACAGGAGCCUUGUCCACAGCUGCCUUUGCUCUCCUGCAGAGGGCUCCUGCAGCCAUAACGUGGGGCUGGGGGUUGCACUUUGGUCUUCUUUGGGGUUUGUUAUCACAGGGAAGGGCUGUGAGUGUCUAGCCAAGUCGAUGUAGGACUCAUACCUCCAUCUACAAUACAUUAAUACUUCCAAAAUAUAUGAGCUAUACCAAAUCUUACUGUGAGUGUAUUGAUUUUUUCUCAAAAGAAGAAAACCUCUCGCUGUGCUCAGUGGAUGAUGUGUACACAUAAGUUGCAUUAUAAUGUCAUGGGGGUAUUAUUCUACCCACCCACGGAGAUGCCC
rnacentral:lncRNA from 1 species